UACAGAGACUGCAAGCGUUAUUCGGAUUCACUGGGCGUAAAGGGUGCGCAGGCGGCCAAGUGUGUGAGGCGUGAAAGCCUGGGGCUUAACUCCAGAAUUGCAUCUCAAACUACAUGGCUAGAGCAUUGGAGAGGGUAGCAGAAUUCACGGUGUAGCAGUGAAAUGCGUAGAUAUCGUGAGGAAUACCAGAGGCGAAGGCGGCUACCUGGACAAUUGCUGACGCUCAGGCACGAAAGCGUGGGGAGCAAACAGG
rnacentral:rRNA from 1 species